GGAUAAGGAAAGUAAAGAAGGGCGCAUGGCGGAUGCCUUGGCUCUCGGAGGCGAUGAAGGACGUGAUAAGCUGCGAUAAGCUUUGGGGAGGUGCAAAUGACCUUUGAUCCAGAGAUUUCCGAAUGGGACAACCCAAUAUCUUGAAGAGGUAUUAUCCAACGUUGUUGGAGGCUAACGCAGGGAACUGAAACAUCUUAGUACCUGCAGGAAAAGAAAAUAAACAAUGAUUCCCCCAGUAGUGGCGAGCGAACGGGGAACAGCCCAAACCAUCCAUGUUACGGCAUGGGUGGGGUUGUAGGACUACGCCGUUGCAUGAAGACAUCAGAGAAGAACUUUCUGGAAAGAAAGACCAUAGAGCAUGACAGUUGCGUAUUCGAAUGUUGUCGAAGCAUAGUAGUAUCCUGAGUAGCGCGGAGCACGAGGAAUUCUGCGUGAAUCUGCCGGGACCAUCCGGUAAGGCUAAAUACUCCCGAGAGACCGAUAGCGAACCAGUACCGUGAGGGAAAGGUGAAAAGCACUUCGAACAGAAGAGUGAAAUAGUUCCUGAAACCGUGCGCCUACAAGCGGUCGGAGCUCGUUAAUGAGUGACGGCGUGCCUUUUGCAUAAUGAACCUACGAGUUGCCUUUGCCGGCAAGGUUAAGUGUGACGACACACGUAUCCGAAGCGAAAGCGAGUCUGAACAGGGCGUAUAGUCGGCAGUGGCAGACGCGAAACCAAGUGAUCUACCCUUGGCCAGGUUGAAGGCUGGGUAACACCAGCUGGAGGACCGCACCAAUAAGCGUUGAAAAGCUUCUGGAUGAGCUGAGGGUAGGGGUGAAAGGCUAAUCAAACUUGGAGAUAGCUCGUACUCCCCGAAAUGCAUUUAGGUGCAGCCUUGCGGGUUACUGAUGUGAGGUAGAGCGACUGAUAAGAUGCGAGGGCUUCACCGCCUAUCAAGUCUUGACAAACUCCGAAUGCGCAUCAGUUCUACCGCAGGAGUGAGGGCAUGGGUGCUAAGGUCCGUGCCCGAGAGGAGAAGAAUCCGGACCACCUGCUAAGGUCCCGAAAUGACAGCUAAGUUAAACUAACGAAGUCUGACUGCUAAGACAGCUAGGAUGUUGGCUUGGAAGCAGCCAUUCAUUUAAAGAGUGCGUAACAGCUCACUAGUCGAGGAGUCGGGCGUGGAUAAUAAUCGGGUAUUAAGUUGUCUACCGAAGCAGUGGGAUCAUUUAUAUGAUCGGUAGGGGAGCAUUCCAGUCGGCGUCGAAGGCGUACCGUGAGGUAUUCUGGAGCGUCUGGAAAAGCAAAUGUAGGUAUAAGUAACGAUAAAGGGGGCGGGAAACCCCCUCGCCGAAAGACUAAGGUUUCCUGAUCAACGCUAAUCGGAUCAGGGUCAGUCGGGUCCUAAGGCUCAGCCGAACGGCGAUGCCGAUGGCAGAAACGGUUAAUAUUCCGUUACUACCUUCAGGAGUGACGUGGAGACGCAGUAGUGACAGUGCCGCCAUCUGACGGAAUAGAUGGUUGAAGGGUGUAGGAGUCGAUCAUGGCAGGCAAAUCCACCAUGAGAUCCGAACCUGACAGUAUGCCGCGUCCUUCGGGACAAGGCAAUAGUGCGCGUAAGCAUGCUGCCGAGAAAAUCCGCUAAACUUAAUCCUGCAGGUACCCGUACCGCAAACGGACACACGUAGUCGGGAUGAAUAUUCUAAGGCGCUUGAGUGAUUCACGGUUAAGGAACUAGGCAAACUGACCCUGUAACUUCGGGAUAAAGGGUCCCUACCCUUUUAUGGGAGGGCGCAGAGAAUCGGUCCAGGCAACUGUUUAACAAAAACACAGGGCUGUGCCAAAUCGAAAGAUCCAGUAUACAGCCUGACACCUGCCCGGUGCUGGAAGGUUAAGAGGAGAUGUCAUCGAUAAGAGAAGCGUUGAAUUGAAGCCCCAGUAAACGGCGGCCGUAACUAUAACGGUCCUAAGGUAGCGAAAUUCCUUGUCGGGUAAGUUCCGACCUGCACGAAUGGUGUAAUGAUCUGGACGCUGUCUCAACCGUGAGCUCAGUGAAAUUGUAGUAUCGGUGAAGAUGCCGAUUACCCGCGAUGGGACGAAAAGACCCCGUGAACCUUUACUAUAGCUUAUCAUUGAAUCUGGGCACGUGAUGUGUAGGAUAGGUCGGAGGCUUUGAAGCAGGUACGCCAGUAUUUGUGGAGCCGCUGUUGAAAUACGACCCUUUAUUUGUUUGGAUUCUAACCCGUGGAACGGGGACAUUGAUUGGUGGGUAGUUUGACUGGGGUGGUCGCCUCCAAAAGCGUAACGGAGGCUUCUAAAGGUGCCCUCCGGCCGAUUGGUAACCGGCCUUAGAGUGUAAUGGCAUAAGGGCGCUUGACUGGGAGACUAACAAGUCGAUCAGGUAGGAAACUAGAGCAUAGUGAUCCGGUGUUUCCGUAUGGAAGGGACAUCGCUCAAAGGAUAAAAGGUACUCCGGGGAUAACAGGCUGAUCCCUCCCAAGAGCUCAUAUCGACGGAGUGGUUUGGCACCUCGAUGUCGGCUCGUCACAUCCUGGGGCUGGAGAAGGUCCCAAGGGUUGGGCUGUUCGCCCAUUAAAGUGGCACGCGAGCUGGGUUCAGAACGUCGUGAGACAGUUCGGUCUCUAUCUAUCGUGGGCGUAUGAAAUUUGCGUGGCUCUGACACUAGUACGAGAGGACCGUGUUGGACAGACCUCUGGUUUGCCGGUUGUGCCGCCAGGUGCAUUGCCGGGUAUCUAAGUCUGGAUCGGAUAAGUGCUGAAAGCAUCUAAGUACGAAGCCGGCCACAAGAUUAGAUUUCUCAGGGUCGUUGUAGACUACGACGUUGAUAGGAUGCAGGUGUAAAGAUGGAGACAUCAAAGCCGAGCAUUACUAAUUGCCCGUUCACUUUCCUUA
rnacentral:rRNA from 1 species